UGUUUGUGUCUUGAAAUAAGACUUGAUUACUCAUCAGCUGUUUUCUUAAACCACAACUCCCCUUGUGUUUUCUUAGGUCAGAGAUGAAGAGGAAGCCUUUCUGGAUUGGAGUGAUGAUGAUGAUGAUGGAUUUGAUCCAAGCACACUUCCAGAUCCAGAUAAGUACAGAAGCUCUGAAGAAUCAGACAGUGAAGACCUGGAAAAUAAAAUUAGUGAUACCAAGAAGAAGCAGGGAAUGAGGAAAAGGAACAACCAUGAAGUGGAAGACGUGGGACCCACAAGUCGUAACAGAAAGAAGGCCAAGUGGGAGACCUUAGAGCCUUUGGAUACAGGCCUGUCUUUGGCAGAGGAUGAAGAGCUGGUGUUACAUCUGCUCAAAAGUCAAAGCUAGAUACUCCGUGCUCUUCUCCUUGAAACCUCUGGUCAUGAUUAUGUGGACAAGAAAUUGGAAAAACAAGUGGCUUUGGAACACUUAGGUGACAUGAGUCCCACACCCAAAGGACCUUCCCUCAGACUGGAGCGAUUCUAUCUCUAAGCUUCUUUACAGGACAUGCUUGCACUAUCCCAGAGCAAACUCAGAGUGCAGGUGGAUUAUAAAAUUUCUUGAUCCCAUUUUCCAGCAUGUGUUCUGUUAGAUUUUACCCAUGAGUUCCUACAUCUUAUCAUUGGAGAUGCUUCCUUUGUUUUACUGGCAACUUCUGGAGACCUUGUUUCGUUGUUAGAAAUUCCUAUCUUGCUUACCACACAGAAAUCUCUAUGUACUGUAAAACAAAAUUGCUCACAGUUUUGAUGUAUUUAAUAUCUCUAAAGAGACAGAGGAUGGUGGACCAGCCCUGAGAAAAGAGUAUUUUUGAAUUGCGACGAUCAAUAAUAAACAUAUUUCCUAUAAAAUA